rnacentral:rRNA from 1 species
AUGACCAAUAGAUUGCAACAACAGAUUCCUGUCUUAAUACAUUCUCUGCAGUCCGGCUUUUUGAAGGGGCGCUCCAUCAUUGAGAAUUUUGCUCUGGCUGCUGAAUUAGUCCAGUGUGCUCACAAGAGGAAGUUGCCAGUCAUUGCUUUGAAACUAGAUUUUCACAAGGCUUUUGAUAGUGUUAGCUGGGACUGCCUCCACCAAGUCUUGGAUGCACGCGGUUUUCCUCAGCUCUGGAGACAGUGGGUUUCUAACUUACUUUCUACUGGUUGCUCGAGAGUCAUGAUCAACGGUGAGUUAGGGCCUCCCAUACUUUCCAAAAGGGGCUUUCGACAGGGCGAUUCUUUGUCCCCAUACCUCUUUAUUCUGAUAGCAGACGUGUUGCAAAGACUUUGUUGCUUACAUUUCCAGGAGGGGUCCCUGCAGCACCCGUUGGGCUCUGGCAGUUUCUUUCCAGUGCUGCAGUAUGCGGACGAUACACUGAUCAUUUUCAAGGGGAAUUUUGAGCAGGCCACAGUGAUCAAGAACAUUCUCACAGCUUUCUCGGAUUUCUCAGGUCUGACCAUCAAUUUUCAUAAGAGCACGCUAGUGCCAAUUUCUAUGGAUGCAACUGCGACUGUUGAGAUUGCCGCGCUUUUUGGCUGCCCCUGUCCUCCUUUCCUUGCACAUACCUCGGGCUGCCUCUGUCUCUGA